rfam:Gorilla gorilla gorilla genomic chromosome, chr10, whole genome shotgun sequence
GCCAGGUGUGGUGGCUCAUGCCUGUAAUCCCAGCUACUCAGGAGGCUGAGGCAGGGGAAUCGCUUGAACCCGGGAAGCAGAGGUUGCAGUGAGCCGAGAUCACACCAUUGCACUCCAGCCUGGGUGACAGAGCGAGACUCUGUCUCAA